ACUUGGCUCGAUUUUCGACGCAUAAGAAUCAUUAAAAGCCUAUUGCUUAUCCUUCAUCUUUACAGGCAUCACUGUCGCAUCACAGGAAUGGAUAGGAGGUAAUAUCCCCCACAGUGAUUCUAUCAAGUCUUUACAAUUAGGUUGUCCCUUUGAACCUAGAUCUUGGGAUCUCCAGUCAACUAGGUUGGGUUUUCCUUUGUAUUA
rnacentral:lncRNA from 1 species